GACACUAUCUUUCAUCAGCCUAUAGCUUACCUAGCAGGCUAGCCUUGCUGGUGAACCUCAGGGAUCUGCCUGUCUCUACCCCUAUCAAGAUUACAAGCACUCACCAUGCCUGUGUUUUUGUUUGUUUGUUUGUUUUGGAUUUUUUUUAAUGUGGGUUCUGGGAAUUGGGAUCAUUUCCUCAUGCUUGAAAGGCAAGCACCUUACUGACUAAACUAUCUCCCCAGCCCUAAUCAUUCUUUAGUGUUCUUUUCUUGCUUUGAAGGUAUUUAUUCCUUCAUUAUUGCCAGCCAUAAGACAGCUCUAUUGCUUCCUCCCAAGUUUCUAAUUUUCUAAUUUUCCUUUUGGGCAGAAUUAAGCUGAGAACCACAGGACUGCUUAUGACCUUCCAGUAACUCAGGCAAAGAAUUCAUCAAGAUAUUCUUAUCUGUCUAGGGGAAAACCCUGAGAUGGUUCAGAAAAGGAAGGGACAAUAUAGAUGUCUGCUGUCACAGUUCUUUGGAAAUAUCCCAUGAGCCCUAGGUGAGAAAACUGGGCUGGAGUUAGAGAUGGAUUCCACAUUGAGCUUCAGAUCCUGUCCUUUCUUCUGGAAGAUUAUUCUACUUCCUCAGCACCAUGAAGAUUAGGAAACUCACAGGUGCACUCUCCUUGCAUUAGGAAAUUCACAGGCGCAUUCUCCCUGUGCAUGCUAACAUCUACACACAAGUAUGCACAGGACUGUUCAAAAUGGAUGCAGUUGGGAACUUGCACCCAAUAUGAAUACAAACUCCACUCUACUAAAAAUGUCCCCAAAUUGUGAUCCCAAGUUUGGUAAGCACUUCAAAGGGGUAAUCUACUUUGAGACCUAAAAUGCAUCUAGGUCCUAAUUUCCAAUACCUGCAUCUGCUUUUUGGCCAUCAGCACAUUUUAAUACAGGAUAUGUCACAUCCUUGGUUUCAGUUCAGAACUCUAGGAGCACACAAGCUCUAUUUCCCCUUUGCUGGAAUGCUGAUAUAAUCAGACUACAUACCUUCAGAACACUAUUCUGACUCGACUGAAGGAAGCUUACCUCCACACAAGGAAGAAAUUGUGGAAAGAAGACAGUUUGAGCAGAAGCAGGAGAAAUGCUGGACUUGCUCUCAUCUAUUUUUAAAGAGUUGUCAGAUGUCUGUAACUGACACCCUUAACUGGAAUUUCUGAGGUUUAAAUAUGUUCAUUAAGAUUUACUAAAAUGUAACACGAUAAUGAAUCCACUUUUUAAAUUGAUUUCCCUUUUGGGCUGACUUUUUAAUCUCAAGGUUUCUUUCAUCUAUUUAGUGACAGAGUAGGUCUGUAUAAGUCAUUUUUAAAUACCCAGUGGUUUUCCAGCAACCUGAUCUAUUCCUGCACAACACACUGCUGCCCACCUAGAAAGCCAACAUUUUCUAAUCAUUCAGAUAAUCUCAUGAGAAAAGAAUAUUUGAAAAAAAAUUUCAAACACCCAGGCCUAGUAUCAACUAAAUAUUUGCCUUGAUUCCUCAAGUUUAGAGUAGAUAUGAUUUUCAUUUACAAAUCGAUCCUUUGGGCCACUCUUUGUGUUUGUUAUUUCUAACUGCUAAAACAGAUGUGAAAGGAAUUAUUUUAAUCAGUGGCAAACCAAAAUAAACAAACUUUUAAAAAUGUUCCCAAGUUUCAUAGAGGUCAGAGGGGACUUGACACAAGACCUGGAGCAUUUGGCCACAUUAAAGCCCUGUACAUCUCAAUAUCCCAUCCAGCCUUGGUCUGUCUCAGAAGAAAACAGCCUGCUUUGUUCUCUGUCAUAGAAAAUGUCAAUGGUGAUAUUUAAGGCACAGCCAAUCCUUGUUAAAAACCGAAAGUCUGCAUACUUACUUUUCAAUACUGUCUAUCCGAGAGAUGUUAUUGGAGGGCUGGCUUGUUGUUGGGGUCCCCUGGCUGUAUGUGAAGCAUGGAUUGGAAGUCCUUAUGUCCUGGUCCCCUGACAGGGACUCAGAUUCAGGGUCUUGUCCACAAAUAGAUCAAAGUGCAGUUGGGUCUGUUUCAGAAAAACUCAUGUCUUCCUAGGAGGGAAAAGUCCGUGCCCAAGCAAGUUCUGGAAGGAGAGCCUGUUUUGCCUGCCCUUGAAUGAAAUAGGUCACUUCUGAAGCUGGAGAAUAUUCUUUAGCAUCACUGUGAUGAAACUUGAGGGCUGUUUUCUGCAGUAGGUGCCACACUUGUUGACGCUGCUUGUCUGCCGGAGAGGCCCUGGCAAAGGGACUUGAUGAAACACAGCCCCAAGGGAGCUGAAGUCCAGAAGCACUGUCACUGACUGCUGCUGGAGAAGGAAGGACAGCUCUCUGCAAAAAGUCUAUUCAGGACCUUGAUUUAAUUGCCCUCCUCUUAGGAAAGCAAUUGUGUUGGGGGAAUUUGGCAUUUGAAAUCAUGAUAGAAAACCACCGGGGGAGGGUGGACAGGAGCUGAAAAUAAGAGCUCAUGUGUUGUUCCUUUACUAUAUCUUCUGAAAUUCUCUGGGGGGGAGACACAAAGGCAAGACACCCCCCUCAGGAAUUUGAGGCCAUUUUGGUGAUAUGAUGAGUUUAAGGCCAGCCUAGGCUAUAUGAAACCUUGUCUUAAAAACAGUCAGGCAUGGUAGCACACACCUUUAAUCCCAGCACUUGGGAGGCAGAGAUAAGCAGAUCUCUGUGAGUUUGGGGUCAGCCUGGUCUAUAUAAAGAAUUUUAGGCCAGUCAGGGCUAUAUAGAGAGACCCUAUCUCUAAGUAAGUAAAUAAACAAAAAAUAUGAAAAAAACAGAAAAGUGCCACAGCCCUAGUCCUUCAGUUUGUCAGCAAUUAUUCCUGUUUCAUGGUAGUUUUAAUAUGGGCUUUUCUUUGAAAUUUGUUCAAACUCAAGAAAGGACAUGGAAAAUCCAGAGGCGUCCUUUUGUAAGUCCCCUUGCCUCACUACAAAAAUAUUUUAAUGUUUGAUACCUGGAAACCGACUAGCUAGAAGGAAACCUCUUGUGAGACAGAGAUGGCUAAAAUUAGCAGCUCUAAGUGGGUGACUUUGAAAGGGACAUGACCGAAACUCCACUCUGUGGUGAGCACCGAGCUCCUCAAAAGCAACACGUCUGUGCACAGUACAGUGUGCUCCUCGCUGUUCUGGGAAGAAGAGUCUCACCAAACAAAAAAGUCACUAUCUGAAGUUAUUAAAUAUCAAAAUGUAGUCUGUCCAGCAAAGGGGUUUGGUUCUUUGGUUUUAUCUACACAAGGGAAGGAAGAUAUUGAAAGCCCAAAGGCUCUGAAGUAACACCACCCCCCUUGCAAACACACCCAUGAAAUGGGACUGAACACAGAGAGAAUCAAAUCCCUGUGAGUGUGGACAUCAUCUCUUUUCAUGUAAAGUUGGUGGUCUUCUCAGCCUGAGGUCUGUUCCAGAGAAAGAGAGAAAACUUGAAAAUGGGGACAAAAAUGUGUGGCAAUAAAGAAUAAACAGAUUGGGCCCUUAAGACAGCUCAGUGGGUAAAGGCACUUAUCACCAAGCCUGGCAACAUGAGUCCCAUCCUGGGGCUCACUUGCUAGAAGAGAAGGACCAAUUCCUGCAGGUUGUCCUCCAACCACUAUGCAUACUGCGGCACAUGCAUACAUGCACACUAAAUACAUAAAUAAACAAAUGUACUAAAAAUGCUAAGAACAAACAAAGGUCACAAAGCAGGAGAGGAUAAAGUCAAAAGUGAACAAAUGGCCCAAGACAACAGAUCAAUAUGACAUGGCAAGGAGAGAAGAUGUGCAUAUAUGGGGCAGCUGAAAUUCACUCUGAGGCUUACUUUUGUUCCAAGCCCAAUCCCUUGAAUUCCUAGUAUUUGUCUCCUAAUAAAAUAGAUGUAAUAAUACAGAUAUCUGCAUAUCCAUGUUUGCUGCAGCAGAAUUCACAAUGACCUGGUUAUGGAAUCAGCUUACAUGCUCCUCAACAGAUAAUGGAUAAUGGAUAAAGAAAAGACGGCACAUGUGCACAAUAGACUAUUCAAUCAGCCAUUCCAGGAAAUAAAGGUAUGCUGUUUGCAGGAAAAUGGAUGGAACUGGAAGUCAUCGUGCAAGAUAAGCCAGUCUUACAAAGACAAGUGCGAUGGUUAAUCAUUGCCAACUUGACUGAGAAGUCACCACUGAAAAACACCUCUGAUGUGGGCGAGGGUAUUUCCAGAACGAUUGGCUGGGGCUGGAAAACUAACCCUGAAUGUGGGCAGCGCCGUUCUAUGAACUGGGGUCCUGGAAUGGAUGAACAUGAGAAGGCUAGCUAAACAGCACAUUCAUCAUCCACUCUGCUUCCUCACUGCAGAUGCCUCGUGUACCUGCCGCUACACCUCUCCUUAACGUGACGGGAUGCGUCGUCUCCAACUAUAUGCCAAAAUAAACCAUUCCUCAGUCAGGUUGCUUCUUGUCUGGUCUUUGAUCGUG
ensembl:lncRNA